AAACCAUGAUGGGGGCAAUCUCUCUGAUAUGACUUGAAUCUCACCCAAGCAGCUUUGAAUGCUUCAGUUGGUCCUUGAGAAAACAUUGAGAUUUUGAGUCUCAGUUC
rfam:Eutrema salsugineum unplaced genomic scaffold scaffold_12, whole genome shotgun sequence.